AAGCGCUCAUGACCAGACUUGGGCUUGGUUGAUCAUCCAGGGUUCUCGCUGGUGCACUUUGCCGGGCUCAGGCCAGCAUCAGUUUGCUCCGGGGGAUAAAGGCUUUGGGAAUGUGGCUCCUCCGGGAGUGUUAUAGCCCAUUGCACAAUACCCUGAGGCGGACUGAGGUUCGCGCAUUUAUGCAAGGAUGCUGGUGUAAUGGUCAUCAGCGA
rnacentral:rRNA from 1 species